UACGGAGGGGGCUAGCGUUGUUCGGAAUUACUGGGCGUAAAGGGCGCGUAGGCGGCCCACUAAGUCAGACGUGAAAUCCCCCGGCUUAACCUGGGAACUGCGUCUGAUACUGGAGGGCUUGAGUAUGGGAGAGGGAUGUAGAAUUCCAGGUGUAGCGGUGAAAUGCGUAGAUAUCUGGAGGAAUACCGGUGGCGAAGGCGGCAUCCUGGACCAUUACUGACGCUGAGGCGCGAAAGCUAGGGGGAGCAAACGGGG
rnacentral:rRNA from 1 species